rnacentral:lncRNA from 1 species
UUUUUACAAGCCUUCCUGGUGAUUCGGACACAGCCCGGCCUGCUGUGACCCAUUUUCAGAGCCACCGGUGUCCAUGUGCUGUCAUAGGCAGUCAGAAGUGGCACCAGGCCCAGGCCACCUGCAGCACAUAGUGAGAGCAGAGGAGCCCAGCGAGGUCCGGCUGUCCGAGUUUCUUUCUAGCCUUCUCCUUGAGGUGAUUGCAGCGUCGGCCUUCCAGAGUUGACAUGGAAGAGAGGACUCCGGGAAAGAAGAAAAAUCUAUUGAAAUGGAUAAGGGCCUGGGUCUGCCCAAGUGUGAUCUCAUUUUCAUAACUCCUCAUAUGACAUAUAGUCCAUCCCUCAGUCCAGCUUUUCACCUUCUAACUAAUACUACCACAGACAUCCUUUUUUUUCUUUGAGCAUCUCUGAUUAUUUCUUUCAUCCUCUUCAACUUUUUCCCCAGGGCCGGACCCUACUGUUAUGUCUAGGUGUUGCUGUGAGGGGGCAACUGGCUUCCUGGCCAACUCCAGCUAAGUGGCUUCCUCACAGCCUCUCAUACUCCCCUUGGGUGGUCAGCUAUAGCCCUACCACUGGUGGCUGAGCAGGUCUCUAAGCCCUUGCUAAUACAAACAUGCUCCUGGACCAGCAGCACUGGUCUCCUCUGGAAGCUUGUUAGAAAUGCAGACUCUGAGGUUGAAUCCAAACCUGUAUUUUCGCAAGAUCCCGAGUGAUUCUUAGACACGUGGAAGUUUGAGAAGCCCUAUUCUAAGGGCUAACAUCUUGCGAAGAGCAUAGCUGCUUCCUCUGCCCGACACUGAAGGGAUGAGAUCAGAGGCUUCAAGUGCAGACUGGAGAUCCUCAAGUUUAAGACACUGUUCUGGUCCUGGAGAUACAACAGUGAACAAAACAAAGAUCCCUGUCUCGUGGGACAUACACGCAAUGAACAAUAAACCUAACCAAGCCAGGAUUUGGUCCCUUUCCACACUGUGGAUGCGGGAGGAAGAGCAAAGUCCUUUCUGUAUAUGUGUAGAUAGAGUGGUCCAGAUGAAGUAAGGAACAAGUUCAAGCUGCAUGUUUGUUUCCUUUAAAAGGGAUACUUUGUUUUCUCACGAUUAAUCACAAAUUAAAGCCAUUAAAAAGGUGUUACCACUUUCUGGGGAAAAAAGGUGGGAAAUGUUGCUUGGUG